AAACUCUAGUUUUCUUUUCAUCUGUAACUUUCAUUAUACUAGCACAUUAUUGAAUUCUUAUGGGAAGUCUGAUUGUUUGUCUCUCCAUAAUAUUUUACAUCAUCACCAUUAUGAGUCAUAAUUGAGUAUUGCCAGGAUAGUAAGUCAUUCCUAAGAGCUAUUUCCAUUUGUCACCUUCAGAACAAGUGGUUAUUUUUUAGUCAUAAACCAUGCAGGGUUGGGUCACCUCAGCCUGGCUUGUGCUCUGCAGGGGAGUUGAUGAUUAAGUUUGGGGAAACUAGACUACAGAAACAGUGCAGUUAUCUUUGAGAACUGAUUUCACACACUGUGAUUUCAGUUUCUAAAGGGAUAGAUUUUUAAUGCUCCAUUUGUAUCUUUGUCUGCCAAUCACACAGUAUAUUACUGUUCCAGCCCAGUAGUGUCUUCAAUCCAAAGGUGCUCUUGCAGCCUGACACUCACAGACCAAACUGGUCAUUCUCUUUAGUAUGAUUCAGUAAAACCUCAGUAAAUGUUUUGGGAAAGGGAUUCUGAUUUAUUACAUUUCUGAUUAACAAGGGCUUUCAUUAGUAAAUACUUUUUAGUUCAAUACUUAUUAUUGAAAAUCUUUGUAAAAUGUGCUAUUUUUGCUAUCUUGGCCUUAGUCACCAUUAUGGGCAACAGAAAUACAGAGUUUAAUGAUACAAAAUGAAUAAUUUUGUCACUCAUUAGGCUAAAUGAUAUAAGCCACAAAUUAUGUCAAUAGAUACCAAACACCUAUUCCUUGUUAAAAACACUUUUAAAAGUGAAGUAAGGGAUACCCUUAAUAUGAUAAAAGUUACCUGUCAUAAAAGCGAACUCUAGAGACAAAAGUAAAUAAAUAAAGACACCUGCUAUUAUUAUUUAACAUGAUUCUAGAAGCUAAAAGUCAUAGAAAAUGAAUAUAUGCAGGUUCUAGGACCCAUCCUGUAAUAUGUUGUUCCUUCAAAGAGAAUUAAAAAAAAAAAAUAAUGUGUGUGACUUAAUGAGUUUUGAUUAUUCCAGGUCUUAUUAGAUAUAUUUUUGUGUUUCCUAAGAAUUCACCAUUUUUUCUGAAGUCCAGGUUAUUUUAGUAUCCUAAAGUAGUAUUUAGUUCUUUUUUUUUUUUAUUUUUUUAAUUGUUAGUGUAUUUUUUUUUGAAGUGGCACUUCCUUUAAAUGUUCUCAGUAAUUUUGAGAAGAGCAAAGAUGAUAAAGUCAGAAAAUAUAUAUCAGGAAAGCAUUUCUCAGAGUCCUUGAAUUCUCCUAAUUUCUCAAAAAAAGCUUCUCCAUGAAUCUCACCACUCCUGAGAAUAGCUUUAGAGUAACCAAACCUGAUUUGAAAAUACAAACAUCGCAUAUAAAAUUAUGCAGUAAAAAUAUUAAAGAAACCUGGGAUCAAAAUUUAGAACACAAUGGUACCCAAAUUAUAGUACACUAUUUAUACCUCAGUUUUAAGAAUGCAGUUUUCUGAUUUUCUGUACAAAUACUUUAUCAUUUCUGUAAUUCAAAGAAAAGCUUAAAACAUUUAGAGAAAAAUAUUUUUUUAAGAACAAUUAAAUUCAGUCCAUAGUGGCAUCAACUUCAAUGACUAUCUCUGAAGCCCUCCAUAAGAUUUGAUUUAAUUUGUUCUAUAUUUUGUUAAUAGUUCACUAUUAAUAGAAAAUUCUUUGUUAUUGGCGACUGCCCUUUACACUGCAGAAUGCUCAGCAACAUCAUUGGCCUCUAUCUUCUAGAUGCCAGCAGCAAGCCCAGAAGAAAACCAAAAAUAUCUCCAACCAUUGCCAAAAUUGCUCCCAGUUGAGAGCCACUCUUCUACAUUAUUUAAGGACAGAUUAAAUGUGAAUAUAUAUGUCCUGCAUAAAAUUAAAUUAUCACAAGUGCACAGUACCUUAAGAAGAUAAAUUAUUAUACCCAAAAUUACACAUGUGGUUCAUAUGCAAUAAAAUCCUAUUUUGGAGAAAGCUUAUGCAAAUCAGUGGAAAAUAACAAUUACAGAAUAUUUUAAAGCAUACAGAGAAAAACACCAAAAAGAACAUAGCAUUUCACAGAAGCAUUUAAAACUCUGGCUCUAAUGAAUAGAUCAAAUGCUUAGAAUUAGCAUAUCAAGUGGAAGUAAACAGGUGCUUCUGAAAUGCUUGAAAAGAAUAAAUUCUUUUUAAGUAGUUUAAAUAUGUCUUUCAGUGUUGUUUUUAAAGACCCUUCUUAAUGUAAGGUAACUUCAUCUCCUGAACUCCUGAUAGUGGAAUACAAAUUAAUGAGGUUUUACUGUAUCAGAAUUAUUUUUAUAAUUCAAAGAGAUAGCAAUAACAAGAAUCUGAUGUGGAUGUGAUUUUUCUCUUUAAACAUGUCUAUUCUGUUGCACUGACCUUAGCAUGCUUGUGCAUGCGCAUACACCAACACAACCACCACCACCAUCUUAUCAUCAUCAUCUUUGGAAAAUGAGUACUGUUGAACCAUGUAAUUCUUUACAUCUCUCUUCUCUAUAAGUGUCUUGCCUCUAUCUUGGAACAAAAGAAAAAUACUCCUAGUAACUUGGAUAAUGAUAGAGAAAAUGAGCCUUUGUUAUCAAAAUUACAUUAUAUCUACUAUGGUGGCAUCAGAAGAUAAGGCUUGUAAACCACAGUCUCCAAGCUGACUAUCUCCCUAUGACUCCCUCAGGAGAUAAGCCCUUCUUAUAUGUUCCAGGAGAAAAUGGGUUUUUGCACUCUAUUCACCAAAAUGAAGCUAGAAGUAUUUGUUUUCCUGAUUCUAAUAAUGUGAGCAGUAAUCCCUACCAUGAAAUCAUCCAUUAACCUUGGUGUUUGGAGGGAAGGAUGAUUAUGAUUUAUUUUAAUUCCCUACAAAAGUAGUACUACUGACUUUGCUUCCUAUACUUGAGACUCAGACUUAGUGCCCCAAUCACCAUCAGGGUCAUCAUCUAACUUUGGAAGAACGGUGAUAGAACUGAGAGAGAUGUUGUCUGAUAAUUUCAUCAUAAAGACAAUUUUUCAAAUCUUUUAUAUAGCCUUGGAGUGAUUCUCAAGUUAAUAAAUCAGAAUCCAGAUUUCUAUUCCUCAAAGAUCUUAAGGAAUUAUAAAAGGAAAAAGUUUGCUGUUGGAGUCCCUUUUUAUGUGACCUCUGUGUCCAAUUUUAAAUAUGCCAUCUAUCUGUUAUCUGCAUCAAGGGAUCUCCAGGGCUUAGAGAAAGAAAAAGAGAGAGAGAGAGAUUAUGCCUAAGGUUGGCUGAAGAAGAUGAAGAUGAGCUCUUUUAAAUACUUGGUUAUAAAAUGUUUGGCAGAGGGGAAAAAUGAAAAAGGUUUAGAAAAGUAAGCUAAAAUCCUCUCCUUGGUUUAGGAUCAUUGGGACAACCCAGGAGAAUAUCUGUGAAUACAGUCUGGCUCUACAGAAAGACAUUAUAACUUGACUACUUUCUUUGAGAGGGCAAUGCCGAAAGGACUCAGACAUUUCUAUCAGGCUUUGCUCUUUGCAUCAGGAGAAAAGUAGUAGCCUUCACAGCUUCCUUACCUUUGUCUUCUGUAACACCAACCCCAUUACUGACUACAUACUAUUUCAAAUACACUCUGUUCCAGGUGCCAGAGAUACUUGUCAACAAGUUAUGUUUUCUGGAUGGCACCAUUUCAGGGAGUAUGGUUGUUGUGUAGCAAGUUUAGUGUACAUAUUUGCCUAUAACAUAGCUCUAAAGGGAUACAAUGCAGAAGAUAAUGUCUGACUUUGGAAAGUAAGAGGAAGUGCCAAUUUGGUGCAAGAGGAUUGGGAUGGGGAGGGACACGGGAACCAGAGUUAAGUGGAAGAGGUUUUGAUGAGAAACAAGAGGCACAGAUGGCUGCUUUGAUUUAUAUAUUUAUGUAGGGAACUGAUUCUCAACCUUGGCUGUACAUGCGAAUCUCCUUAGGAGCUUUUAAAAUCCCAAUUAUAUCAAAAUCUCUUGGAGUGGGAACCAAACAUUGUUAUUUUUGAAAGCCCCCAACAUGGUUCUAGUGUCAACCAACACUGAUAAACACAGCUUUAUGGCUGAUUAAGGAAGACACAUUUGUCUCCCUUGGCUGGUAUCCAAGCCCCACUUCUGAGGAGUUGUGGAAGGCAAGAUGCAAGAGAUACAGUGUUGUCUGGAUUGAGAACUAUUGUAUUGUAACCCAAAAUAAAUCUUCUGUGCAAAUUUCUGACCAGGCAGUGCCCCACUGACUUAUAAUAAUUCUGUCUCUGUGGUUUUCUCCCAUGUGACUUCACCAUCAUUCCAAUUCAAACAUCUAGGUUUUUGAUUGUCUUAUACAUGUGACAUCACAAGACACCAGAAGAAAUAUAAGAAACUCAACAGCAUGUAAAGCUAAAUGGAAAACUAAUCCUUAAUAGUUGGAUAGUGGAAAUUAAAAUAAUCAUUUAUUAAAUCAGGCCCAAAUUUAUUAUUCAUUCUUCAUUUGGAGGAAACAUGGGUACUAGGUACCUGUUCUGCCAUACCAUAUUUUAUUGGACUUGAUCUUAGCAAGAAGGAAGAACAGCAGUUCCUUUUUGAUUGUUGUCUUAGCUCCCAGGGCCACUUGGAUUUUUUUUCUUAGUUAUUGGAUAUGUGUUUAAAGGAGGAAGAGUGUCUGUAACUCAUUAUCUGGCCUCCAGCACCCUGAGAGACUGUUUUCACCUUCAAAAAGGGAGAGUCUGCCUAUCCAAGGCAAUAAUCCUCAAUGAGAAAAUGUGAGAGUUUUCUCUUCUCUUACUGCUCCCCUCUGGUAUUGGCCUGUGCUUCUCAACUGCAAAGCCAGAAAAUAAACUUAAGUGGUGGUCAUGGACAAGUAUACACAGAAUCAAAAUCUCUAAUAAUCUGUAAUUUUUAGUACUUAAUUAUGUGAUGUUUUAUUCUAGGAAAUAAGAAACAGAUGACAUCAUUGAUGUAUCUUUCUUUCAUCUUCAGAAUUUUUGCAUCUUUUCAGAAAAUGACAAAUUACUAUUUUUCUGUUGCACUCAGCAAUUGUGACUAUACUUAAAAUUCUUGUAGUCUGUAGAGAUAUCAAUAAAAUUGUAUAUGUUUGUACAUA